rnacentral:rRNA from 1 species
UUUAGAGUUUGAUCCUAGCUCAGGAUGAACGCUGGCGGCGUGGAUGAGGCAUGCAAGUUAAACGGCUCUUAUCUCUUUCGCAAGAAAGUGGUAGCGGGCAGUGGCAAACGAGGUAGUAAUACAUAGGAACGUCCCCGGAAGUCUCGCAUAGCUCGCCGAAAGGCGGGGUAAUACGGGAUGUGGUAGAGAUAUCAAAGGAGCAAUCCGCUUACGGAACGGCCUGUGGAGUAUCAGCUAGUUGGUAGGGUAAUGGCCUACCAAGGCUAUGACACUUAGGGGACCUGAGAGGGUGACCCCCACCGAUGGGACUGAGACACGGCCCAUACACCUACGGGUGGCAGCAGCCGAGAAUAUUCGACAAUGGGCGAAAGCCUGAUCGAGCGACGCCGCGUGAUGGAUGAAGUCCCUAGGGACGUAAACAUCUUUUAUGAAGGAGAAAGUAGCGACGUUUACGUCGGUAUUGAUAGUACUUCAUGAAUAAGGGGUUGCUAAACUCGUGCCAGCAGCAGCGGUAAUACGAGUACCCCAAGCGUUAUCCGGAAUCAUUGGGCGUAAAGGGUGUGUAGGCGGUAUGGUUAGUCUUCUGUUAAAAUCUCGGGCUCAACUCGAGACUUGUGGAGGAAACGGCCAAACUUGAGGAUGUGAGAGGUGAAUGGAACUCAUGGUGUAGGGGUGAAAUCCGUUGAUAUCAUGGGGAACACCAAAAGCGAAGGCAAUUCACUGGCGCAUUUCUGACGCU